GAUCGCGUUAUUCUGCGCUGGAGGUCUAAACGGUGAAGUGGAACAAAGACACAACAUAACAGAAAAACAGCAACAGGAAACGACUUUGAACCAUAUUUAAAUUGGGAAAUUUUCAGUGGAUCAGUUUUCACCGGCAAAUGCGUGUUUCUUUCGAGGGGGAUCGGACAAGCAUGUGUGUUCUGAUCUUGUCCAGGGUUUGAUCAGAGUUGGGUUUGGACGUCUAAAAGUUUUUCUACAUUCGCCUAUGACCAGACUUCAUUGGAGUGAUACCAUAUAUCAAAUGAUGGGCUUUUUGUUUUGCUUUGGAUUGAAUACCCGUGUUUGCAGCCGAAGACAGUGAACGCCUAGGCACCGUGGAUGUUUAUAUUAUAAUAUUUUGGAGGCAGUUCCAGGACAUUAUUCCAUUAGGAUUUCCCAGGUGUCCGCUUUAAGUGCGCCAACAUGGGAUCGGUGUCACUAUAGCGCAACUUAUCCAGAGAUUUCGGCCAUUUGUCUUUUGCUUCUGUUCGUCUCAAGUUUUUUCAAUAGUAGCGAUUUAAACAGCAUAUAACCUGUACCACCUUUGGAAUUACCACCAUGAACUUUGUUGUCAGUUUGGUACAAUUAUUUUUUGCGGCGCUCCUUCAUCUGACCGCAGUAAAGUGUGCUCAUAUACCCAAGGAAGGAGUCAAGGGAAAAAACGAAGUUGUUCCCUUCAUGGAAGUGUACAACAAGAGCAUGUGUCGGACACGGGAGACUUUGGUGGACAUCAUGAAAGAGUACCCAGACGACACAGAAUACACUUACCACCCGGCCUGCGUGGUUCUCAUGCGCUGUGCAGGGUGCUGCCCUGACGAAGCGCUCGAAUGUGUUCCCACGGACACGCGCAAUGUCACUCUGGAGGUAAUACGAACCAGACAGCGUGUAUCGCAGCAUGGGUAUCAGCUGACUUUCACUGAACACACGAGGUGUGAAUGCAAACCAAAGCAAGAAGUUAAAGUAAAGAAAGAAAAAAAACCCAGGGAGGGGAGGGGCAAAGGCCAAAAGAGAAAGAGAAAGAGAGAGAGAGAGAGAGAGAGAGAGAGGGAGGCAGCCGUCAGGCUGGAGUUCUACACCAGCAGCGCACCGAUCCUGCACACGGGCAGUCUCUCUCUCUUGGUCUUUGGCUUGGUGGUCGAGGAGCUUCUGUGCUCUGCGUAACACCAAAACAAAACAAAAACAGAACCAAAUGAAUGAACCCACCCAUCCCCCAUCAUUUCAUUGGCUGGCAGCUUUCCACUCCACUAUAUGUUCUUAAUUUCUUCUUUUUUUUACGUAACCCCACUCAUUUGAAGCCCCCACCCCCAACUGCUCUCAAGCCCCAGCUAAAGCAAUUGGAAGUGAGGGGCUGGCAGAUGCGACAAACCAAGAAGAUGAUUAGCGGAGAAAAGUGGUGGAGACCGAUUGAAGGAAUAUAUUUUUUUUACGUAGCACUUUCUUUUACACGUGAGGACGCAUUCCCUGGGCUGAUUGAAAGAGAAAAAUAACAAUGGCAACAACAACCGUACCCAACAAACUAACAAACGAAAACAACAAUCGACAAAAACGCAUCACCACAAGAGAGAAAGCGUGAAAGAAAUCCUCCCAUUUUCCAGAUUUUAAUAUAUGAGUAAGUGUAUAAAUAUAUAUUAAAAAGAAGAUGACAAUGUGUACCGCUGCUAUAUAAAUUGGAAACACUACAUUCAAGUGAACGAAUGCACCACUUGGUGCGUGAAUGGGAUCUUCUUCAGUGCCAGUGAAGAGAGACUGCUAAUGGACAGUGCUGACUGUGGUUUUGCCUUCUAAACAAAACCAAUCUUUUUCAAUGUAAUAUGUCACUGGAUAUGGGUCUGCUGUGGAGAAAAAAUAUCUAUAUGUACAGUAUAUAUGUAUGUAUAAUAUAUAUAUAUGUCUAUAUUUUAUUGAACUGAUCGUUACCAUGACUUCACUCGAGAGGUGCAACAAGAAGGUGUCUCCCAACAACUGUGGGACAUUGGGGGGGGGGGGGGGGGGGAGGCGUUUGAGACACUUUCUAAUGGGACUGAAAAUGGCGGGUCCAGGGAACACAUGACAGUCCCAUAUGUGGAACCCUUCUCCCUGCAUGAUGUGACUGCCUUCCAUUGCUGGAGACCUUCGUCACUCAUCACAGAAGACUGUACUGACUAACAUCCAAUAGGACCUGUUGGGUUGUGAAAAAAAAAACUAUAUUUCUAAAGGGAUAUUAAUUGUAGGUAUAUAUAUAGAGACAGAGGUGAUCCUAAAAACAGCUUGAUUCCAUCCUCUGCCAGAGAAUAGUGGUGUGUACCGUGGGUCACAUUCGGUGACUUGUUCAGUGUGUUGUGUUUGUUUUCCAAAGAAAUUAAAAUUGCACACUUUCUUAGACACUGUUCCUGGCAACAAAAUAACCACACCAUCUGUGUAUGCAUACCUAAUAAUAUCCUUUUUUGUAGUACACUACACCUAAUUUAUAAUGGUAGAAUAUGUCCAGUAUUCGCUGUAUUUAAGUUGAUCUAUUUAUAUGCAGUGUUAUUGUUCUUGUUUUUUGUUUGUUUGUUUGUUUGUUUAUUUUGCAUUUUCUCUCUUGUCAAUGUCAUGAGUCUGCCUGGCCUUCGAAAACAUGAAAACUGUAGACGACUUUUUUUUUUUUUAAAGAAAGAAAAAGUAAGAAAAGAAAAUCAGAGAGAAAACAAAAACUUCAACAUUCCUGAAACGCUGUUGUCUGGCAUACCUGAGAUGCAGUGGUCAUGGAGUACGCACUCAGUCUACUCAUAGCCUCUGUCUGUGAAAUGGGACUCUGUCGGCAACCGUGGCAACUGUGGCAACUGCAUGGGCCCCUGGCCACCAUGCUAACAGUGCCUUAUGGUACUAAAUGUGACUGAAAAUGCCCAAAAUCAACCAAUAGCAACUUGAACUGAGGCUCCCAGGAAGUGGACUAAGGUUGAGUCAGAGUUUAUGGAGAUCAUGAUAGUCCAGUCAUUCUCAGCCUUGUUGCUAACUGAUAAUGCUCUGACAGAAGCAACUUUCAGCCCUCUUGACUAAUAAAGAUAAACAUUCUAUUGUAUUAAAGUGAUGAAACUGUU